UCCUACGGGGGGCAGCAGUGAGGAAUAUUGGUCAAUGGGCGGGAGCCUGAACCAGCCAAGUCGCGUGAGGGAAGACGGUCCUAUGGAUUGUAAACCUCUUUAGGCGGGGAGCAAUGCCGGGCACGCGUGCCCGGAGGGAGAGUACCCGCAGAAUAAGCAUCGGCUAACUCCGUGCCAGCAGCCGCGGUAAUACGGAGGAUGCGAGCGUUAUCCGGAUUUAUUGGGUUUAAAGGGAGCGUAGGUGGACAGUUAAGUCAGUUGUGAAAGCUUGCGGCUCAACCGUAAAAUUGCAGUUGAUACUGGCU
rnacentral:rRNA from 1 species